GUACCCGAGAGAAUCAUCUACAACGGUGAUGUGAAAAUCCCUGUUACCUGAGGUCAAAAAUAAAAGUCUCCCAAGAAGACCCGGAGUGGUGAUGCCUGGAUGCAGAGGAGAUCACACUGCUUAUAGAUCUGCACCAUGAGGAGGCCAAAAGUUUCUGCAGCAGCAGGAGGUAAGACAGGACUGCUGGUGGGUGUAAGGAGCAGAAAGCAAAGCCACAUGAGUUUGAGAAGAAGGCAGCGGCACCCCUGAGGAUGGAGACUUUGGGGCAGUGUCACAGUCCUGUACAGAAACCUUGAAGAGACACUGAAAAAUUCAGGUGGGAGCACAUCACCCAACCAGCUGCUUGUGUGGUUUGGUCCAUGGACCUUUGGGGUUUGCACACCAGAGACUGAAAACUCUUGACUUACCCUAAAUUUCCUCUUUAUGGACUUCUGAUGUCAGAGGAAUGGCACAACAAAAUCCAAUAUAUUUUCUUCACCAUAGUGUUUCCAGCCUGCUAACUUUCCCAGGACUACUUUCUGCUCAAAUUACUGGAACUUAAUUACAUGAGGUUUAAUUUCAGUUGCUUGGCCAGCUUUAAAAAUAUGUAUUCAAAUUUUAACCACAAGGACAGAAUUUUGGGAGCCUCUUUGUCCUCUCACUUUGUGUUAAUUUAAAUGAGGAGACUGUGCCUGUGAAUCUCUGCUUUACUUCACCUAUUCCAAGUCAGUCUCAGCUCUGGAGAGACAUCCCUGACUCCCAGCAGUUUAAGGGAGAGCACAAACAACCCCUUAUGUUAUACUUUAUGUUUUUGAUACUGUGCAAACAGUAUAUGUUUGUCUCCUGCUUAUGAAUUUUCUUGUAAAUAAAAUGUAUUGAGACCA